GCAGACACAUUCCAGCCCAUCAGCAGCAGACCCUCCCUCCCAGUCCCUCCCACCUCCUGGACAGCAUCCAUUUUACAUUCAUUGUGAAGCUGCAUUCUUAGUGAGCUGUCCAAGAGGUGGGAGGGUCUGGGAGGGAGGGUCUGCUGCUGAUUGGCUGGAAUGUGUCU
rnacentral:miRNA from 1 species